rnacentral:rRNA from 1 species
UAGAUGGCGACCGGCGCACGGGUGAGUAACACGUAUCCAACCUGCCGAUAACUCGGGGAUAGCCUUUCGAAAGAAAGAUUAAUACCCGAUGGCAUAGUUCUUCCGCAUGGUAGAACUAUUAAAGAAUUUCGGUCAUCGAUGGGGAUGCGUUCCAUUAGGUUGUUGGCGGGGUAACGGCCCACCAAGCCUUCGAUGGAUAGGGGUUCUGAGAGGAAGGUCCCCCACAUUGGAACUGAGACACGGUCCAA